GUGUGAGGUGAUGAUAAGGGGUUAUUGUAGUCAGCCCCAGCCAUUAGUUGUUGUCGUCGCCAGCUGGUCCAGACACGGCCAUCUUCCUUCAUGCACAGAGCGCCGUGUUUGAUGAGUUUUAUUACUGUCAUCAGCGAAAUUGUCAUCGUUAUCAUCAUCGUCAUCUGUGUUGCUGUUUUGAAUAUUACUGGUGUUGAUGUAAUAGUGGUAGUUGCUGUAACAUCGUCAUCACAAACAAAAAGCAAACAAAAAACAGUACAGAGAAAGCUCACAACCAUUUUUUUUCUUUUGCGCAACCAAAUAAUUUACCGAAAUAGGGAAAAAAAGAAAAAAUGGAAAAUUAAGAGAAAGUUAUACGCAGGCAAGUCACCACCGCCACCACCACCACCAUCUGACGGUCCCGCGCCACUCAAACUAGUACAACACACGUACUCAAAAGAACAAGAAGUGCAGACAAACAAGUGGCCUUUCAUACACCUCUUCCUUCACCACCACCGCCACCCUCGCCGCCAAGUGUGGGUGAUAAGGCGUAGAGGUGUAGAGGUGUUUAUUUACCCCCACCCUUGACUCCACACAGUAAAUUUGCGGCGUAUCAUCCGUCCUCUCGCCUCCUUUGUACGCCACGUUAAGUAAAUUUCAGAGUGCGUUGCCCCCUAAAACGCCCCACGCCUCCCAGGUGACGCGACGAUGGUGAGGAGGCGGCCGCACCCUCACCAAAUUAGGUACUUAAUGAUGUAUGUCCCUGAGUGGCCGAUCAUACAAACCCGCGAGUCCAGCAUGCUUUAAUUCGUGUUUCUUCACAUUCCAUUGGCUUCCUGAGAGGCGGUUUAGUGUCAACAAGACCCAAGGAAGGGAGCAUAAUGGGACCCACGGACUUUAGGAACCUUUUAAGUGUUGGUGGUUUCAGUGGUGGCCCAUAGAAGGUCCUCAGGUCCUCGGCCGCGUGGAAUGACAGCUGGGAAACAUUCAAAUUCCGUGACGUGUAGAGGAGACACAAAUAAGCUGCCGCCAAACACAAAAAUCUGGGAGAAGGCCGCGGCCAGAGAUGCCACACGCCGCCACGUUUUCCCCUCGUCCAGUGCGCGCCAUUGCUGCUCUGUGACGUCACGGGCCGCUGAAGUGAAGCGUGAUUUUAUUGGUUCAUUACUCCCAGUGAAGCGUUCUAAUUGGCUGGCGGCGGCUCGAGGGGCGACACGCGGGGCCGUCUCCUGAGUUGCCGCGUCUCGCCCGUCACUCAAAUCUGAAGGUGUACUUAUAUUCACAUAUCUCACAUAAUUACUUCCAGACUUUGAAUUUGCAUCGCCCAUUGAGGAGUACACGCUUGGGUGGCAUUAGCGGCAGAGUUCAUUGAUGGAGUGCGAGUGAGGAGCGGAGCGCAGCGGAGGCAACACGAGGAGGGCGAGUUGGCUGUCGAUAUAUGGGGCGAGGACGGUAAAUACUGGUCCAGGAAGGCUCAUUUAGUUGUGUGGACGGAGCCUACGGUUUAGCGUCGGUCCCGGGGGAUCAGACAGUCAGUGGGUGGCGGUGAGCGAUGAGUGGUCCGCCCGUCACGUGGUUAUAACGCGCAGUACCGCCACGCUGCCGCUCCUGCCCGCUUGUCCAUCUGUACCACUGCUCGGAAACUCCCGCGCUUCAGGAAAAAUCAUACAAAAAAGCACCUGUUUCCUCACACACACCAGAAUAGUAAAACUUCCGCGUGAUUGUAUUGAAAAGAGAGGAAGAUUGUUACUGAACAGUGUGUCGCGUAGAGAUUAACGCCGCGUGAAGUUAAGAUAGAGAAAAUUAUACGCUCAAACUUAGCCUUGCACAGUGGAUUCAGCGAGGAAGCGACGCUCACGGAGGAGGUUGAGCUGAGGGCCGCCGCUACUGCCGCCGCCGCCGCCGUCACCGCCACUCCAGCAUCGCCGUCACCACUGUCACCAUUCGGGGUGUGCGGUAGCGGUGGCGGGCCAGGCGGGCCGCACGUGGCCGCCGUAAUGCUCUCGCCGGUGGACGCCGGGCCGCACGGGCCACACGGGCCACAUGGGCCGCACGGCCCCCAUGGCCCCCACGGCCACCCUCCGUGGGCCCCCGCCUCGCUGGACGACAUGACGCAAAAGGCUUGUGAUAUCGAAUUCUCCUCGGCUCUGACAACAGGCG